GACGAACGCUGGCGGCGUGCUUAACACAUGCAAGUCGAGCGGUAAGGCCCUUUCGGGGGUACACGAGCGGCGAACGGGUGAGUAACACGUGGGUGACCUGCCCUUAGCUCUGGGAUAAGCCUGGGAAACUGGGUCUAAUACCGGAUAUGACUCCAUGACGCAUGUUGUGGGGUGAAAGCCUUGUGCGGCCAGGGAUGGGCCCGCGGCCUAUCAGCUUGUUGGUGGGGUGAUGGCCACCAAGGCGACGACGGGUAGCCGGCCUGAGAGGGCGACCGGCCACACUGGGACUGAGACACGGCCCAGACUCCUACGGGAGGCAGCAGUGGGGAAUCUUGCGCAAUGGGCGAAAGCCUGACGCAGCGACGCCGCGUGAGGGAUGACGGCCU
rnacentral:rRNA from 1 species